UUGCAGCCAAUUAAGCCGACUGUGCUCUUUUCCCCAUGGGGGCCCAGUGUGCAACAGCUGCAAAUAGCAGCCUCCUUGGUAGUGUAUGCAGCCUGUUGCCUGUACAGGUAGCCCUAAGGGACCUUGGAGACAACU
rnacentral:snoRNA from 1 species